rnacentral:rRNA from 1 species
AAUAUUGCGCAAUGGGCGAAAGCCUGACGCAGCCACGCCGCGUGAGUGAUGAAGGCCUUCGGGUUGUAAAGCUCUGUCGGGAGGGACGAAAGGAUCGCUCGUGAGAGCGUUUUUUGACGGUACCUCGCAAGAAAGCACCGGCUAACUCUGUGCCAGCAGCCGCGGUAAUACAGAGGGUGCAAGCGUUGCUCGGAUUUACUGGGCGUAAAGCGUACGCAGACGGUGAGAAAGGUCGAAUGUGAAAGCCCCGGGCUCAACCCGGGAAAUGCAUCCGAAACCAUCUCGCUAGAGUAUGAGAGAGGGAAGCAGAAUUCCUGGUGUAGAGGUGAAAUUCGUAGAUAUCAGGAGGAAUACCUGCGGCGAAGGCGGCUUCCUGGCUCAUUACUGACGUUCAGGUACGAAAGCGUGGGUAGCAAA